rnacentral:rRNA from 1 species
AUCAACUUUCGAUGGUAGGAUAGAGGCCUACCAUGGUGGUAACGGGUAACGGGGUGUUAGGGCACGACACCGGAGAGGGAGCCUGAGAAACGGCUACCACAUCCAAGGAUGGCAGCAGGCGCGCAAAUUACCCAAUCCCGACACGGGGAGGUAGUGACAAUAAAUAACAAUACGGGGUUCUUUCGGAUUUCGUAAUUGGAAUGAGUACAAUUUAAAUCUCUUAACGAGGAACAAUUGGAGGGCAAGUCUGGUGCCAGCAGCCGCGGUAAUUCCAGCUCCAAUAGCGUAUAUUAAAGUUGUUGCAGUUAAAAAGCUCGUAGUUGAAUUUCGGGGUCGGUAGGUUGGUCAUGCCAUCGGUAUGCACUGGUCUCACCGAUUCCUCCCUCUUGUAGAAGCGUAAUGCCAUUAAUUUGGUGUUGCAGGGAAACAGGACUGUUACUUUGAAAAAAUUAGAGUGUUUAAAGCAGGCUCACGCUUGAAUACAUUAGCAUGGAAUAAUGAAAUAGGACGUUUGAUUCUAUUUUGUUGGUUUCUAGGAUCGACGUAAUGAUUAAUAGGGAUAGUUGGGGGCAUUAGUAUUCAAUUGUCAGAGGUGAAAUUCUUGGAUUUAUUGAAGACUAACUACUGCGAAAGCAUUUGCCAAGGAUGUUUUCAUUAAUCAAGAACGAAAGUUAGGGGAUCGAAGACGAUCAGAUACCGUCGUAGUCUUAACCAUAAACUAUGCCGACUAGGGAUCGGAUGAUGUUAAUUUUUUAAUGACUCAUUCGGCGCCUUACGGGAAACCAAAGUGUUUGGGUUC